rnacentral:rRNA from 1 species
GAUGAACGCUGGCGGCGUGCUUAACACAUGCAAGUCGAACGAAGCAUUUGCGACAGAUUUUUUCGGAAUGAAGUUGCUUAUGACUGAGUGGCGGACGGGUGAGUAACGCGUGGGUAACCUGCCUUGUACUGGGGGAUAGCAGCUGGAAACGGCUGGUAAUACCGCAUAAGCGCACAAUGUUGCAUGACAUGGUGUGAAAAACUCCGGUGGUAUAAGAUGGACCCGCGUCCGAUUAGCUAGUUGGUGAGAUAACAGCCCACCAAGGCGACGAUCAGUAGCCGACCUGAGAGGGUGACCGGCCACAUUGGGACUGAGACACGGCCCAGACUCCUACGGGAGGCAGCAGUGGGGAAUAUUGCACAAUGGAGGAAACUCUGAUGCAGCGACGCCGCGUGAGUGAAGAAGUAAUUCGUUAUGUAAAGCUCUAUCAGCAGGGAAGAUAGUGACGGUACCUGACUAAGAAGCUCCGGCUAAAUACGUG